ensembl:antisense Gm42457 predicted gene 42457
UCUGAUCACCCCAAUUUGAAUUCUAAGUGGCUGAUCUUUUCAUACUUCAGAACAGCAGUGAAUAAUGUUUUAAAUAAAAUUAUGGCAAACAAGCUUGAAACAUGAUUCUGGUUUUCUACAAUUUUCACAAGUUCUUUUAAAUGCAAACAAUUCUUUACCAUUUCUUUUCUAGUGCAUCUGCAUUAAGGCUUUGAAUUAUUUGACCCAAGAUUUUACAAUGACUCAGGUUUUACAAGGUUAAAGCAAACAGGUCCAUAACCAUCCUGCCUAGUGUCACUGAGUCAGCACGAGCAGUUCCCACGGAGUUCAUGCAAGUAUUUCUUAAGACAGUCAUAAAGUACACUGCCGAUGGAAAUGGAAUGUACAU